UCCACCUCAGUUCUCCACACCUGAUGCUUCAUCGUUGUGGCAACAGCUCUCUCCCCACCGCUCCCCAUUUCAUGGUGGCCACAGCUCUCUCUCUCUCCCUCUCCCUCUCUCUCUCAUCAGGCCGCCUCUCCCCUUUGUCCCCACCGCCGGCGCGAGGUCUCGCACUCCCCCGCUCUUCUCAGCUCCUCCUCGUCGAAUUGGUCGCUGAAGUGCCCGAGGAUCCGCUCGAGCUCGGCAUGCUCGCGGGUCGACCCAGUGCUAGGCGCUGACGGAGGCGGGCGCGGAGGCGCGAGACUCAUCUCCACUGGAUCGUCUGCCGUGGCAAUCACGCGUCCUUCCUCUUCGUCUCGCUCGCCCGGCUCCGCUCGUCCGCGGCUCCCACCGCCCUGCGCGGCUGCGCUGCGUGCUGCCCAGGUGCAGCGGCAGCAGUGCCGCAGCGGCUGGUGCCCCUGCAACUGCAAGUCGACGCCGGUUGUUUAUUCCCCACUUCGGCACUCUGCUAUGCUUAUUUCCGAUUUGAGGAAGUGGCGGCCAUGGUCUAGUAGGAAAAUGUGGCCACGAACCCGCAAAAGACGGCGGCCAGCCUGGACCGCAGCAGCUGCGACGGUGAUCUGGCCAGGAAGAAGAUUGGCAGUCAUGAUGGAAGGUCCAGUGGAGCUUUGGUCCAUGGCCAUGGCGUCCUGCACGGGGACGGAGAGAGGGAGAGAGAAAGGAGGAGGAGGGCGCUGGGCACGACUGACCGACAAAGGAGGUUGGCGACGGCUUGCAGGAGCGCAGGCGGCGACGGGAGGCGGGGUGAAUGGGGGGGAAGCGCACGGGAGGAGGGAAGGGAGGAGCGGCGACGCGAGGUUUGCUGCUGAUUCAUCCGGAAAUUAGGAAGUUGCGGGCGAGGCUGCGGGGAUCUGUAGACGCGGGGCGCGGAUGAUUAGCAAACGACGGCGUCUGCCAGGCAGAACAUUUAAUCUCAGACGUUGAUUGAGAUGGCAGAUUAUGGAUGUAAUAUGGUCAGUAGGAUGUGUUUAAGUUGAUUUGAUCGAAGGGUCCGGGUUACCCCGUGUACAGUUUGUUGUGUGGCUUUAGACAAAAUUAUGUUUGCUCUUUUAA